GACGAACGCUGGCGGCGUGCUUAACACAUGCAAGUCGAACGGAAAGGCCCUUCGGGGUACUCGAGUGGCGAACGGGGGAGUAACACGUGGGUGAUCUGCCCUGCACUUUGGGAUAAGCCUGGGAAACUGGGGCUAAUACCGAAUAGGACCACGCGCCUCAUGGUGGGUGGGGGAAAGCUUUUGCGGUGUGGGAUGGGCCCGCGGCCUAGGAGCUAGUUGGUGGGGUAAUGGCCUACCAAGGCGACGACGGGUAGCCGGCCGGAGAGGGUGACCGGCCACACGGGGGGUGAGACGCGGCCCAGGCGCCUAGGGGAGGCACCAGUGGCGAAGGGGGGACAAUGGGCGGAAGUCUGCUCCAGCGGUGCCGCGUGUGUGAAGAAGGCCUGCGGGGUGGAAAGCAGGUUUGUGGGGGAAGAAAAUCAGAAAGUGGGUACCAAGCGCUAGUGACGGUACCUAAAGAAGAAGCACCGGCCAACUACGUG
rnacentral:rRNA from 1 species